CAGGAGCAGCCCAAAGAAAUAGCAAAAAAAAAAAAAAAGAACUAUUUCGGGCUCUUCGAACCCAUUCUGGCGAACUUCAUCAAUAGCUGAGAUGCACACAUAGACCCUCACUUCUCUUCUUCACUUCUUCACUCUCUUCCAGAAUUCUUCCUACGUCAUAUUUUCUUUUUCUCCUCUCUAGUCCUCAAUUCCCGUCCACUUUCAUAUUAGGAUACCCAGGUAACCUCCGCAGCUGAAGAAAGUCAAGCAAAAAGAUCAGAUUGGGGUGGCGGCGGGGGGGGAGGGGAAUGCAGGGUGUGUGUGUGUGUGUGUGUGUGUGUGUGUUCUUUCCAGAAAGUAAAUCUAAUCCAAAUGGAAAAUUGAAACUAGUCAAGGAAAACACACUGGAAACUUUCACUGAAGGGGUUCUAGCUGCAAAACUCCCAUAAUUCCACAUUCUUCACAAUACUGCCUAUCCCUUGACAAAUGGGAUCACAAAAAUAAGUUAAAAGAAAAGCUGUUUCCAAGCCCAGCAACAACCCUAGGAAUGAUUUACAGCACAGGCAACCCCGCUUCCACAGUUAACCACACUGUGCGUAUUUCUAACAGAGUUACAAGCAAUUCCCAGUGGUCUUUGGCAACAUCCCAGAAUCUUUUUCAAAUAAAGCAAAAGUAAAUAGCGCAAAAAACUUCAAAAUCAAAAAACUCCUUUGGCCGCUACACAGCAAAUUCCAUUACAGUGGCUUGCAAGUUUCCAAAUUGUUCAAAUAGAUUAAAAACCCAGUCUGCAUUCGUUUUACACUUUGCAUUCUGCAAUAGCUACGAACAGAAACCACAGAGAACAGAGCGAAGUGCACUGCAGUAAGAAUGAGCAAAUUCACCGCCCCAAAUCAGUAACUUGCAAGUAAUCGGAAAUCAAAAAUUUCUAAUGAGAAUAUUUCUGAGGGGGAGAACAUGAAGUUUCUUUCUAAAAUACUCAUUCAGGGUGUUCCCGUCGUGGCUCAGCAGUUAACGAACCCGACUAGCAUCCAUGAGGACACGGGUUCAAUCCCUGGCCUCCCUCAGUGGGUUAAGGAUCCAGCGUUGCCGUGAGCUGGGGUGUAGGUUGCAGACGCGGCUUGGAUCUGGCAUUGCUGUGGCUCUGGUGUAGGCUGGCAGCUGCAGCUCUGAUUUGACCCCUAGCCUAGGAACCUCCAUAGGCCAUGGGUGUGGCCCCCCCCAAAAAAAACAAUGACAAAAUUCAAGCCAAUCCCAUUCACGAUACAAAGGAAAACCGUUUUAUGGGUCAAAAAUAAAACACGGAUUUCAAAUCAACUCAUCAGCGUGACAUAACUGAUCCUACAACUCCGAGUCUAAUUUUUCCCCAUCAAUCCAAAAUCUCUGGGCUACCCCCACCACAAUGCUAGCCUGGCCUUUUCCAAUCCCAGAAAAAGCCUUUCUUUUUGUCAGGUUCCCCGUUAUUUGGAGCUUUGGUCCAUCAAUGUAAAACGAAUUAUUUUUCAAGCCUUUCUUAUUUUAAAUAUUCCUCUUCUGGAAGUAGGUCACUCUUGUGUGAGUCUGAGCUUCUCUUUGAACUGAUUACCUGUUUCUCCGUAUCUCCCCUAAUAGGAACGUGGAAGGCAUUCAAAGUGUGAAAUCCAAUUCCAGUUAAUUUUAUUGAUUCCUUUCACAGGCUCCUUAUUUCUUAUGCUAAUUCAUGUUUAUUUGAAAAGGAGAAAACAAAACAGCCUUUUUGGAGAGAAUGCCUUCAAAAUCUGUAAAGAGCCAGUACAUGUUUAUUCAAUUAUAAAUGAGCUAUAUAAUAUUUAAAUCACUCACCGGAAAUAAAGAUGGGUUUCAACCCACUCCAGAACACAGCAACNUAACUUGACCUCAUCUUUGAAAGUGCAUGAAUGACUGAGAUGAUAAAACAGACACCACACCGUCACAUCCACACACACACACCAGGCUACCUGACCGUUCCACCCUGUCCCCUCAUUGAGUUUAUCGAUGCUGUCCCUGUCCCCUCCUCGCGCUCCCUGCUGAAGUCAGAAUAAAAUGGCAAGUCCUACCUAAGGGCACUUCGCCGAGAUUUCCCUUCCCUGCAAGAAUUCCUCUUAAUUUUGAAAGGGGAUGACGAGGUACAGUUUUGCCCUGCAUAACUUGCCACCGUGUCUGGGAAGCGACAGCCAGACCCUGGAAGAUAAGUGUUGUGUGGCUCUAUCAGAGUGGCCUGGCGCCCAUCCGGCUUUUCCCUGCAUCUAGGUGACAUUCUGUUUCUGUUCCAAAUCUCCCGGUUCUAGAGAGCUCAGUUUUCUCCCUCGUAAUGGAUUAAUCCCAGAGUAACAACUCUGGGAGCAAAGAUGAGAGGCUCAAAUGUGCUGAGGGCAAGGAGUUCCUAUCGUGGCUCAGCAGUAACAAACGUGACUAGUAUCCAUGAGGACGUGGGUUCGAUCCCUGGCCUUGCUCAGUGGGUUAAGGAUCCAGGCGUUGCUGUGAGUGUGGUGUAGGUCGAAGAUGUGGCUUGGAUCUGGUGUUGCUGUGGCUGUGGUGUAGGCCGGCGGCUACAGCUCUGAUUCAGUCCCUAGCCUGGGAACUGCCAUAUACUGUGGGUGCAACCUAAAAAGACAAUUAAAAUAACAGGUACUGAAUGCCAUAAGCAAAUGGACUCUGGACUUGCUUCCAAAAUCAUAACUGCCUGGAUCCAACCCAGAGAAGGUGAUCCCUGCAUCCCCCUUUGAAGGACAGCCACUCUCUAGGUCUGUCACUGAAACAAGUGAUUUACUGCCUCAACCUAACAGGCCUUCUGAAAAAAGGCCUGUUUCUGAAAAAAGUCAUUUUCUCCUAAAUCAUUCAUAAUUCAUCAUUUAAGUGGCAGUCAUUCUCUCCUGAUCACAAACAACUCCCAAGAAAUUACCUUCAUCAUCUCCCGCAGGAAUAUGACCUAGAAGCAAGACAUCUGACUCCACAUUCCAGAACCCCUAUCUGGAUAAUGACCGAAGGGGCAAAGGGGCCUUAAGAUUGGUCCGUUUCAUUUUCUAAAUCUGGUUCCUCCUUCUCUCUGUAUCC
rnacentral:lncRNA from 1 species